GUCAUUGUAGUGGUGUGAAGUAGACAGGUCAUUGUAGUGGUGUGAAGUAGGCAGGUCAUUGUAGUGGUGUGAAGUAGGCAGGUCAUUGUAGUGGUGUGAAGUAGGCAGGUCAUUGUAGUGGUGUGAAGUAGGCAGGUCAUUGUAGUGGUGUGAAGUAGGCAGGUCAUUGUAGUGGUGUGAAGUAGGCAGGUCAUUGUAGUGGUGUGAAGUAGGCAGGUCAUUGUAGUGGUGUGAAGUAGGCAGGUCAUUGUAGUGGUGUGAAGUAGGCAGGUCAUUGUAGUGGUGUGAGGUAGGCAGGUCAUUGUAGUGGUGUGAAGUAGGCAGGUCAUUGUAGUGGUGUGAAGUAGGCAGGU